UAUAUGCGUAAAUAUGUGUGUGUUCAUGUACAAUGCAAUAUGCUUGUAAAUGCUUAACAUGUAUAUGUAGGCACAUAUAUGUAUCUCA
rnacentral:miRNA from 1 species